GCAACGCGAGAACUUACCUACCCUUCGUACAUGUCCGGAACGUUGCCAGAGAUGGCUUGGUGCCCGAAAGGGAAUCGGAACACAGGUGCUGCAUGGCUGUCGUCAGCUCGUGUCGUGAGAUGUUGGGUUAAGUCCCGCAACGAGCGCAACCCUUAUCAUUAGUUGCUACGCAAGGGCACUCUAAUGAGACUGCCGGUGACAAACCGGAGGAAGGUGGGGAUGACGUCAAGUCCUCAUGGCCCUUAUGGGUAGGGCUUCACACGUCAUACAAUGGUCGGUACAGAGGGUUGCCAAGCCGCGAGGCGGAGCCAAUCCCACAAAGCCGAUCGUAGUCCGGAUUGUUCUCUGCAACUCGAGAGCAUGAAGUCGGAAUCGCUAGUAAUCGCAGGUCAGCAUACUGCGGUGAAUACGUUCCCGGGUCUU
rnacentral:rRNA from 1 species